GAUGAACGCUAGCUACAGGCUUAACACAUGCAAGUCGAGGGGCAGCAUGGUCUUAGCUUGCUAAGGCCGAUGGCGACCGGCGCACGGGUGAGUAACACGUAUCCAACCUGCCGUCUACUCUUGGACAGCCUUCUGAAAGGAAGAUUAAUACAAGAUGGCAUCAUGAGUCCGCAUGUUCACAUGAUUAAAGGUAUUCCGGUAGAGGAUGGGGAUGCGUUCCAUUAGGUUGUUGGUGAGGUAACGGCUCACCGAGCCUUCGAUGGAUAGGGGUUCUGAGAGGAAGGUCCCCCACAUUGGAACUGAGGACACGGUCCAA
rnacentral:rRNA from 1 species